rnacentral:rRNA from 1 species
UACGUAGGGGGCUAGCGUUGUCCGGAUUUAUUGGGCGUAAAGAGCGUGUAGGCGGCCAGGUAGGUCUGGUGUGAAAACUCGAGGCUUAACCUCGAGAUGUCAUCGGAAACCAUCUGGCUAGAGUCCGGAAGAGGAGAGUGGAAUUCCUGGUGUAGCGGUGAAAUGCGCAGAUAUCAGGAAGAACACCAAUGGCGAAAGCAGCUCUCUGGGACGGUACUGACGCUGAGACGCGAAAGUGUGGGGAGCGAACAGG